UCAGAAAAGAAGUCUGUUUGUUGACAUUUUUUAUCAAAUUCACUCGAGAAAAAAAAACAAUCAAAUCACGCGAAAAACCGUCACCAUGAUCCAAAUCGGACACUAUACCUUCCGUGAUCGGCGUGUUAAUAGUAGAAUUGAGACAUAAAAAAAAAUAAGUAAAUACUUAUCAAAGGUACCAUGAUUAUAACUUAAUACGCCAGACUCAUGUUUCGUCUACGCAAUUUUCAUAAAUACAUUCAUAAUUUUUUUGUAAUAAAUGCUAGUUUAACCACC
rnacentral:lncRNA from 1 species